rnacentral:rRNA from 1 species
UACGAAGGGGGCUAGCGUUGUUCGGAAUUACUGGGAGUAAAGCGCACGUAGGCGGAUACUUAAGUCAGGGGUGAAAUCCCGGGGCUCAACCCCGGAACUGCCUUUGAUACUGGGUAUCUCGAGUCCGGAAGAGGUGAGUGGAAUUCCGAGUGUAGAGGUGAAAUUCGUAGAUAUUCGGAGGAACACCAGUGGCGAAGGCGGCUCACUGGUCCGGUACUGACGCUGAGGUGCGAAAGCGUGGGGAGCAAACAGG